rnacentral:rRNA from 1 species
ACCAGACUCCUACGGGAGGCAGCAGUGGGGGAUAUUGCACAAUGGGGGAAACCCUGAUGCAGCGACGCCGCGUGAGUGAAGAAGUAUUUCGGUACGUAAAGCCCUAUCGGCAGGGAAGAAACAGACGGUACCUGACUAAGAAGCCCCGGCUAACUACGUGCCAGCAGCCGCGGUAAUACGUAGGGGGCAAGCGUUAUCCGGAUUCACUGGGUGUAAAGGGAGCGUAGACGGCGACGCAAGUCUGGAGUGAAAGCCCGGGGCCCAACCCCGGGACUGCUCUGGAAACUGCGUCGCUGGAGUACGGGAGGGGCAGGCGGAAUUCCUGGUGUAGCGGUGAAAUGCGUAGAUAUCAGGAGGAACACCGGUGGCGAAGGCGGCUUACUGGACCAUAACUGACGUUGAGGCUCGAAAGCGUGGGGAGCGAACAGGAUUAGAUACCCUUGUA